UGUCGAUACACACAGGAGAUAACGGGGGAAACCUCAACUCAUCCAAUUUGUCAGAAAUUAAAGAAAGAUUCAGCCUUAAAUUGAUGCAUGAUCUCAAAUUUGUGAUCAUCUAAGCCUACAAAUCAUAAGUUUGACAAUUGACAAGUUAGGUGGGAGCUUGGAAAGGAAUGGGUCAAACGGGUUAAAGGCGCGAAGAAGCUUGAACGGACACAAGGUGCGAGAUGGAAGCACGGCUCAUAACCGGCCACCAUUGUCAACGAAAAAGAAGACGACGACUUAGGUAAGAGUGUUGUACCUUUAGACGCACACAGCGUGGCACCAUAACCAUGAUCGCAACCAUGGUUUGCAUGGUUCCACGCUUGUGUCCGCCUAAAAACCAUCCUCUUAUAUAGUCGGUCUAUAUUUUCAUGAUGAGUUGAGUGGAUGUUUUUCAUUUUCAAGCUAUGGGAACACUGCAUGGAUAUGUAUGUGUAUAUAUACACACAUAUUCAUAUAUAUUGAAAAGUUAAUGUUUAAGGGAGUGGAAAUGUGAGAUAUAUCAUCAAAGGUGGUGUACGUUCUUCAGGAUGAAGCUCCUAUUGUGUGCAUGUGACACAAGGCUAUGUAUUUGUAAUACACGUGUUGCUACGUGACAUAAAU